GAUCCUGGCUCAGAAUCAACGCUGGCGGCGCGCUUAACACAUGCAAGUCGAACGAGAAAGCCCGCAAGGGUGAGUACAGUGGCGUACGGGUGAGUAACACGUGGGUAAUCUACCUUUUGGUGGGGAAUAACCCUGGGAAACCGGGGCUAAUACCGCAUAAUCCUGAGAAGGGAAAGGCGAAAGUCGCCGAAAGAGGAGCCCGCGGCUGAUUAGCUAGUUGGUAGGGUAAAGGCCUACCAAGGCGAUGAUCGGUAGCCGGCCUGAGAGGGCACACGGCCACACUGGCACUGAAACACGGGCCAGACUCCUACGGGAGGCAGCAGUGGGGAAUCUUGCACAAUGGGGGAAACCCUGAUGCAGCGACGCCGCGUGAGUGAUGAAGCCCUUCGGGGUGUAAAGCUCUUUCGGCAGGGACGAUAAUGACGGUACCUGAAGAAGAAGCUGCGGCUAACUACGUGCCAGCAGCCGCGGUAAUACGUAGGCAGCGAGCGUUGUUCGGAGUUACUGGGCGUAAAGAGUGCGUAGGCGGUUUUCUAAGUUUGGUGUGAAAUCUCCCGGCCUAACUGGGAGGGUGCGCCGAAGACUGGAAGGCUUGAGUAUGGGAGAGGUAAGCGGAAUUCCUGGUGUAGCGGUGAAAUGCGUAGAUAUCAGGAGGAACACCUGCGGUGUAGACGGCUUACUGGACCAUAA
rnacentral:rRNA from 1 species